rnacentral:rRNA from 1 species
GAUGAACGCUGGCGGCGUGCCUAAUACAUGCAAGUCGAGCGAACAGAUGAGGAGCUUGCUCCUCUGACGUUAGCGGCGGACGGGUGAGUAACACGUGGAUAACCUACCUAUAAGACUGGGAUAACUUCGGGAAACCGGAGCUAAUACCGGAUAAUAUAUUGAACCGCAUGGUUCAAUAGUGAAAGACGGUUUUGCUGUCACUUAUAGAUGGAUCCGCGCCGCAUUAGCUAGUUGGUAAGGUAACGGCUUACCAAGGCAACGAUGCGUAGCCGACCUGAGAGGGUGAUCGGCCCCACUGGAACUGAGACACGGUCCAGACUCCUACGGGAGGCAGCAGUAGGGAAUCUUCCGCAAAGGGCGAAAGCCUGACGGAGCAACGCCGCGUGAGUGAUGAAGGUCUUCGGAUCGUAAAACUCUGUUAUUAGGGAAGAACAAAUGUGUAAGUAACUAUGCACGUCUUGACGGUACCUAAUCAGAAAGCCACGGCUAACUACGUG